rnacentral:rRNA from 1 species
UACAGAGGUGGCAAGCGUUGUUCGGAAUUACUGGGCGUAAAGGGCGCGUAGGCGGUCCGAUAAGUCCCGUGUGAAAUCCCUCGGCUCAACUGAGGAACCGCACGGGAAACUGCCGGGCUUGAGUUCGGGAGAGGGAAGCGGAAUUCCGGGUGUAGCGGUGAAAUGCGUAGAUAUCCAGAGGAACACCGGUGGCGAAGGCGGCUUCCUGGACCGACACUGACGCUGAGGCGCGAAAGCUAGGGGAGCAAACGGG